AUGAGACACUCCCUCACUCCACCUGCCCUUACUGUCUCAUCUGAGCCGGAUGUUGCUGUGGUCUCUUCAUCAUCAGUGACCCCAGAGCCAGCGAGAGGAUCUAGAGAAAGACCAAAAGACACUGAGGAUUUGAUUUUGGGACCUACAAACCCUGGAUCAACCUGGAGAAAAGAGCCUUGCUCAAGGACACACUGGUGGUUUUGAACCAGUAUCCUUCUGCUCACCAGUUCAGUGGUUUAGCCCACUACAAAAGUAAUAAAUCAAUGUACUUGUAAACUCUGUGUAAAUGCUUUACAGGUAGUUGUGCUCAUGGAGAGCAGACACAUGAAUGUUUGGAGCAGACACAGCAGCAGCUAGUCAGAUUGUCCCGCACGUGUUCCUCUGCUCUUGUUUCAAGGUUGAGUGGUUCAGAGAGCUGUCAUCAUGGUCUUCCUUAUCCUGUUGCUCAAUGACAUCCCCAUUGAGAUAAGUGAGAUUGUGAAGCACAGCGCGGCAGCAGAAUGAGCACAGCUGUGUUGAGAUGAUAGUAGGAUGUUGGGUUCACCAUCUGUAAAUACAUGAUUGUUAGAACAAUAAGUUUGAAUGAUGCUUUGUAUCAUGUUGUUGAAUUGUACAUGUAUGCAUUUAUUGUGAUACUAACUUUUAUACAUUAUUUUAAUCAUUUAGACAUGUUUCUUGUUGUCAGUAAAUAAAAUAUAAAUACUUUAUCCAUUCGUGUAUUAAUUGCUUGACUGAAAAUUAAUGUAUUCACAUCGACUGCAUUUGUCCAACUAGUGUAUUUUCAUGUAUAGCUAUGUCACAACAAAAAAUAAAUUUAGCUUCUUUUACGUAAUUUUAAGAAAAAAAAUUUUUUAUGUCAUUUUAAAAGAUUUUUAUGUCAUUUUAAGAAAAAAAAUUAUAUAAUUAUUGGUUGGCAUUUAUGGUUGGCAUGGUGUUAUUAUUGCAUGUAAGUGUUGGGGUAGGCAAAAGAUGCAAUUCAUUAUGGGGUAAUCUUAACUUUCGAGUAGUAAUACUUACAUUUUUAGAGUAUAAAAUCAACCCUUUGUGCAGACAUUGCUGCAGUCGCUGAGGGAAACUGUACUGGACUGUUGAAUUAGUGAUGCUAUGAGGUGUUAGUGCACCUGUCCCUCUUUUUUUAUUAUUAUUGCCAAACUUAUUACAUAAAAGAUCAGGGUAAGACGGUUGUAUCUAACAAUGAGCAAUCAUAAUGACAUAAAACAGUAAAUAAAAAUUUCAUGUGUUCAUCAUGAGAUAAUAUAUACAGAAAAAAAAAAUUAUGUGGAUUUUGCACAUAAAAUAAUUGACAAAAUAUUCAAGAGAUAACGAUUUUGGGUUUUCGUAAUAAAAAAAAUGAUUUAAGGAUAAAACUUGAUCACAUUAGUGGAGUUAAAAAUAUAAAAACUACUACAAUCACAAAAUAAAAAGGCAGCCGUUUCUUCAACAAGACAAGAACAUGGGCAAUUUUCUUCGUAUCAAGAUACUUACAAAUACAUUAAUUAAACCCGUCACUGAUAUCUUUUAUGUUUUUUGCGCUUGUUUUAACUUUGUAGGUCACAUGAUCAACAUAGCGGAUGAUGAUAUCCAAAUCGCAUUCAUGCUCCAUACAUACGCAUUCAGGCUGUGAAAUUAAGUGCCUACUUAAAGGGUAUGCGGUUUCGUUUCGAACGAAGCCCGACAAAAUCUCGUUUUGACAUCUCGAGUGGUUCUGUGUGAUUUGGACAACUUCAAGUUACGCCUCUUUCGUCAAGUUACGCCCCCUUCAAGUUACGUCCCUGUCUUGCAGUCUGCAGACAGACCCUUCUCGAUUUGUGCGUUGCAUUUAUUCCACCGCUUGAUGGCGACUGUGCCAAAAAAGGAAUGCCAUUACAAACCCUUAUCUCACCGAUUAGGAUCUAAUUUGCAAAAAAAAAAAAAAAUAUUAAGUCAAAAAAAAAAAAAAUUAUUCUGUAGCGCUGGCCAGAUCAUGGAGAGAGUAAGCAAACUCUGACAAGUACAGAACUGAAAAUACGAUCAAAAAAAAUAUUUCUGUGAUAUAAGAAAAACGUAUAUUUUUCUUAUAACUUAUUUCUUUAUAUUUCUUAAACUUAUAACUUACGCAAACUUAUUUCUCUGAUGUUGUGUGAAUGUAUUUUUAUCUUUGAUCAUUAUGUUGUACAGCAUUUUGGUCAGUAUUGUGAUUGUUUUAAAUGUGCUUUAUAUAUUAUAUAUAUACCCCAUAACUCUUAUUUAUUAUCCUAGAAUAGAUAAACAAACUGCUCUUUGAUGUCUAGAGUUGCAUCUAUAGACUUUUUUCCAUCUAGUAUUAAGAUGGUUUCAAGUUUUGUAGUUCAAAUGGAUGGGAAGAAACAUUAUGCACAUGGUCGCUGAUUUUCAUUUAUCUAUGAUUGAGAAAACAGAAAGUGACAGCCGGAACUGACAGCUGACUCAGCAGAUCUAAAUCUAAGAGGUUAGACAAGCACUCCGCUGACUGGGCAUAAGCCAGUUAGGAAGGAGGAGGAAAUGUCACCUUCAUUAAAAAUGAAUUCCUUAUUAACAUCCAGUUUUUUAGAAAAUAUAACCUCACUUGUAUACAUCAAAGCAAAGACUGGACGACAUUCAGUGUGCUUUUUACAGUAUGAUGACUCAGUGUCCUAGUCAAUAACAACGUAAAGUCAGAGAAAAGUCAAACUAAUUGGUAUAACAUCAUUAUUUUCCUAAUGAACCCUGCAACCCUAAAUAUUAUGCCCUGCAGAUGUCUAUAAGAUGUUGACCAACUGAUGUUUAAUUCAUGCAUGGCUGAAACAUCACCAUCUGCAAACCAUCUGUGAUACCUUUAGUUAUCAUUUACUGUAGCGCACACAUUUUAUAUGCAACUUAAAGCAUAUAUUUAUAUUUGCAACUUAAAGCUUCUGAUUAGCUGUAAAACAACUCAAAAAUUCUGCCAUUUCUGAGACUGAAUCUAACUGCUGUAUCUAUCUAUCUGUCUAUCUAUCAUUAAUAUCUAUAACUAAACCUUUCGCAAAUGGAGACUAUAUAGCCUUUUACAGAAAAACUAAAUAAUUUUUACAAAAGUCAAACAUGCUUGAAGCAAAGCAGAUGACAUAGGUCAGUAUGAAUCAUAUUUGUUUUAUCACCAACCCUGCUUACACCAGCAAAAGAAAACAAAAUCUAUGUCAAGUGAUGCCCCGGGUAUCAAAAC
rnacentral:lncRNA from 1 species